rnacentral:rRNA from 1 species
GAGGAGCUUGCUCUUCUUGGAUGAGUUGCGAACGGGUGAGUAACGCGUAGGUAACCUGCCUGGUAGCGGGGGAUAACUAUUGGAAACGAUAGCUAAUACCGCAUAAAAUUGAUUAUUGCAUGAUAGUCAAUUGAAAGGUGCAACUGCACCACUACCAGAUGGACCUGCGUUGUAUUAGCUAGUUGGUGGGGUAACGGCUCACCAAGGCGACGAUACAUAGCCGACCUGAGAGGGUGAUCGGCCACACUGGGACUGAGACACGGCCCAGACUCCUACGGGAGGCAGCAGUAGGGAAUCUUCGGCAAUGGACGGAAGUCUGACCGAGCAACGCCGCGUGAGUGAAGAAGGUUUUCGGAUCGUAAAGCUCUGUUGUAAGAGAAGAACGAGUGUGAGAGUGGAAAGUUCACACUGGG